UGAACCUGUACUUUGGAUUGCCACGGAUUC
rnacentral:piRNA from 1 species